AGAGUUUGAUCAUGGCUCAGAACGAACGCUGGCGGCGUGCUUAACACAUGCAAGUCGCGUGCGCAGUUUCCGUAGCAAUACGGGGAUGGGCGCACGGCGCACGGGUGCGUAACACGUGGGCAAUCUGCCCUCCGAUGGGGAAUACCCCCGCGAAAGCGGGACUAAUUCCGCAUAACAUUCCUUGGAUUAACUUUCGAGGAUUCAAAGCAGCAAUGCGUCGGAGGAGGAGCCCGCGCCCGAUUAGCUAGUUGGUGAGGUAACGGCUCACCAAGGCAAUGAUCGGUAGCUGGUCUGAGAGGAUGGCCAGCCACACUGGAACUGAGACACGGUCCAGACUCCUACGGGAGGCAGCAGUGGGGAAUCUUGCACAAUGGGCGAAAGCCUGAUGCAGCGACGCCGCGUGGGGGAUGAAGCUUUUCGGAGUGUAAACCCCUUUCGACUGGGACGAAUGCCUCGCAAAAGGAGUGACGGUACCAGUAUAAGAAGCCCCGGCUAACUACGUGCCAGCAGCCGCGGUAAGACGUAGGGGGCCAGCGUUGUUCGGAAUUACUGGGUGUAAAGGGUUCGUAGGCGGUGUGGCAAGUCGGGAGUGAAAUCUCUGGGCUCAACCCAGAGACUGCUUCCGAAACUGCUGUGCUUGAGUGUGAGAGAGGCUCGUGGAAUUGCAGGUGUAGCGGUGAAAUGCGUAGAUAUCUGCAGGAACACCCGUGGCGAAAGCGGCGAGCUGGAUCACUACUGACGCUGAGGAACGAAAGCUAGGGGAGCAAACAGGAUUAGAUACCCUAGUAGUCC
rnacentral:rRNA from 1 species